UGGCGAUAGACUGAAAGGUGUUAUGAUCAUAUUGACUCAGAUGAGCUCCUCAACGAAUGUUUCUAUUGAGUUGCGGAAAAUAGCGAAAGACCUAAGACUAGCCUUCAUGAAAAAUGUUCAAUCGGACUGCAACCU